GUGCACUUCUUGUGGUCUUCUUUCAAGGUCGAAGUGGGCUUGGUCUUUCUAGGCUCUAUGAGGUCUUGAGGAGGGGCAUGUUUGCUUUUGUCAUAGACGAGUAUAGCAGGAAUGUCUUCUAACGGGCAACCUAUGCCUGUGAUUUAAUAUCAUACAACUUUCAGCAACGGAUCUCUUGGCUCUCGCAUCGAUGAAGAACGCAGCGAAAUGCGAUAAGUAAUGUGAAUUGCAGAAUUCAGUGAAUCAUCGAAUCUUUGAACGCACCUUGCACUCCUUGGUAUUCCGAGGAGCAUGCCUGUUUGAGUGUCAGUUGUUUUUCAACCUACCUAUGUUUCUUGCUGGGUGAGGCUUGGAUGUGGAGGAAAAUAUGUGCAGGCCUUUAUGACUAUGUCAUGGGUCGGCUCCUCUGAAAUGCAUUAGCGGAGCUGCUUGCAACCUUGCUAUAGGCGUGAUAAAUAAUUUCUGUGCCAAGUGGGGUUUGC
rnacentral:rRNA from 1 species